GUUUUGUGCUACCCUUACUCUUCAAAACAUCCUGUUUUCUCGCGGAGCUUUUUAUUCGUCCCAGGUCCCUAUCUUGUUUACUGACGGUUUCUGAGUGAAGAGAGGUCGACCAGUUAAGAUAAUGUGUGCUGUUAUAACAAGACUUCUGUUUUCAAGAGAUUGAAGAAUUUCAAAGGAAAAUUAGGAAAAAAACAACAAAUAGGCAAACAAAAAGAAGAACAAAUCAUUAAUUUUUACAUCAUUAAAGCCAAUUAUGGAAACUAGAAGGAUAAAUAACGGAGUGUGUUAGCAGUGUUAAACAUCAUCCAUUAGUUCAUCAUGGCAUCAUCCACGUCUCACGUGAUCUCCUCCGAGGGUCUAUUGAAAUUCAGAUACUACUAUUUCAUAAGAAGCUGGGGAAAAAAGGUUGUGUUUUCGAUUUUUAAAUAUGCUUUCCUCCAUGGGCAGUCAAAAACAAUUCACGAGAUCUUGACUGAAAAAAAUGUACCUCUUGGAAAAAAAAGUCAAUUCACUGGUCGAGAAGUCUCAAAUUUGUCAACAAAAUCCCCAGAAUGCUUGGACAUUACAGUACUUAAUAAGAUCUGCCAAGUGCUGUGGGACAAAGGCGUAAAUUGCCCCAGUGACCAAAUGCGGAAUUUGGUGAGGAAGAUCAAAGAUGAAAGAAAUGAUGUCAGCCACGAAGAACGCAGCAUUUCUGAGACUGAACUAGAUUAUAAGCUUAGUCAUUGCAGAGAUUUGCUGAUAGAGACUCUAGGUGAGGCUAAAAAACUCUAUCCAGCUCAUGUAGUUGAAUUAAAUCAACUGGAAAUUGAGAUUUUGAAGGUUAUUCCAGAAAUAAAAGAAAAGAUCCGAGAAAAAUAUAAUCCCUCUAAUCCUGAUGAUAGGAAGAGGCUUCAGGAUGAAAUCACAGUGUAUGGAGAAUAUUUACGAGAGUAUGUCUUAGAAAAGUCGCAAGGAGAGUUAAGAGAACUGUAUACCCUGCUGUGUAGGAUUUUACCUUUUGACUGGUUAACUCAAUAUGGUGUCAUAGAGCCUUGUGAGUUCAUGGUAUUCCUAAAGGUGGACACUGAUAAAGAGUUCCAUGGUGAUUUUUCUGACAAUGAUUUUAUGAACAUUGACCAAAGAGAGAUACUUAGCAAGAAAGCUGCAUGUGGUAGGUACCCAGACGUUGUCAUCUUGUCUGGUGAUGCUGGGUCUGGUAAGACAACAAUUCUCAGUUCCAUUGUAGAGAAGUGGUACAAGCAGACAAAUGAUAUGCCAAAUCUGUCAUAUUAUGAAAUCUUGCUAUAUAUGCAGUUUCGGAAGAGGGAUCACAGCAACUUUGACGACUAUCUUCGAGAUCACUUACAUGGGUCGGUGCUUGACCUGAAUUUUGAAGUGGUCAAAUCCUCAAUCCUUCGCUCAAGGUGUCUCUUUUUAUGUGACGGAUAUGACGAAGCAAAUCCUGAGUCAAAGAAGCUUUUCGAGCAGAUUUUACAACUGAAAUGCAGUUACAAGAAAAUUGUUGUCACAACUCGCCCCGUGAACACUAAAGAACUUACAAGCCUUGUGAAUACAUCACAAUACAUUAGGAUCAAUCUUAGCAUUUUGGGUCUUCAAAAGGAAGAUACGGAAGCCCACAUUCAGUCUCUCAUAAGAUAUUUAAUAAGUGACACAGCCAAAAGAGAUGAAAUGGUUAGAGAUAUAACUCAGAUUUUUAAGUCAAUGAGUUUCGAGAUGAGUGGCAUAUUGAAAAAUCCCGUCUGGUUCAAUUUGUUUUCUCUGCUUUAUAUUGAAUGUCCAAAUCUCAGAGGAAAAAUCAAGACAGUGUCUGCACUUUACAUUGAAAUACAGAAGCAUUUGAAAAACAGUCUGAUAGAGAAAGUUAGAGUCAAGAAACAUGUGGUUGAUGAAUUUGAGAGAUUUUAUAGACUGAUGUCUUUGAAAUAUCAUCUUGAGGAGAAAUACGAAUUGUCUGAAGAAGAUGCCAAUGUCUUUGAAAAACAAUGCUGCAGACUGAACUUAAGCUUUGAGACAAUUAUGUCAUCUUAUUUCAGUGUGAAAUAUUCACGUAAAGGUCUUGAUCUCGUUAGGAUCUACUGCUACAAACACCGAAGUGAGCAAGAGUUUGCAGCUGCUGGUGCUAUUUGUGAUGUAAUAACCAGGAUGUAUAGAGAAGAGAGACAAAACUUUGAAAAGCUUUUAUCGCAAGGAAAUCUAAUUGAACAUGCUGCAAUUGUACAUACGAUGGAUUUUCCACAUGUGCCUGUCAAGAAGAGAAGAGAAUCUAAAACAUAUGGCAACAAAAGUAUAGAAAAUGCCUUGGAGGGCUUAUUGGUCUUCAUAACAGGAAUACUCUACAAUACUCGCAUAGAUCUUCUGUACUUGGUAAUUGAAGAAAUUUUGCGGUUAGUGAAGAAAAUAAGUGACACGCCAACAAUGUACUCGAUUCUCCAACAAGAAGAAGAUUUGUUAUGCAAACACCUAGUACAAACUGAAAAUGAUGAGAAAGUUAUUAAUGCAAUGGUGAGACUUUUGCCUCGCCAAUUAUUCAAGGUCAAUAGUUCCGAGACUCUUCAAUGUCUGACCUCAUUAUUGCCCAGAUUAAAGCCCGAGACACUUUUCCUCAAAGUACGUGACAACCCUCAAGAACAUCUUUACAUUAUUCCAGCGAUUGAAACUGCUUUGGAAAACGACAUUAAACUUCAUUUGCAUCUUCUCUGUGAGUCUUCCAACACUACAUAUUUGAAAGAAUCCCGGGAUACGGCACUAAAUUUGAAAGAGUCCCUGGAUAGGUCACAAACUGGUAUAAUAAUUAGUGGCAGGCUGACGGGAAUAGGGGUAGCAAUACUGCCUCCAAAUACAUCGUUCAUCGAUUUCAGAAUAAAAGGGGAGGCAUUACUGCAGCUCUCCUUUUGUCUGAAAGAGCUUCGGAACCUGCAGCGUUUAGAACUCCACCUCGACGACGAUGGCGCCUUCAGUCUUGAUGACCUCACUGCCCUUCCUUUCUUGGGAAGGGAAUUUAUUUUGCACUACAGCACCUCUCUAGAUUUGCAAAUCAACUCCAACGUGGAAAGAAUAGCAAAACUAUUCAAUGUUAUUUGCCCCAAAAGGAAAUUUGUAUUUUUAACGUUUAUGCUCUAAAUAUGCUGUGUCGCAACAAGAUUUUGAAUAUUACAGGUAGACGAUUUAUUAAAUGGAUAUUCGUUUCCAAGAUGUUUCUCCACUGAAUAGGAAUAAGUUAAAUUUCCAUUUGUAAGCAAGAAUAUGUGUCAUCUUUUCUAUAAAAAUAACCACGUCUAAUGAAAACAUAAAAAUUCUCCUUUCUAACAGAACUCCACCUCGACGACGAUGGCGCCUUCAGUCUUGAUGACCUCACUGCCCUUCCUUUCUUGGGAAGGGAAUUUAUUUUGCACUACAGCACCUCUCUAGAUUUGCAAAUCAACUCCAACGUGGAAAGAAUAGCAAAACUAUUCAAUGUUAUUUGCCCCAAAAGAGGUUCAAAGGAUGCAAAGAUUUAUUCUAUGAAGUCCAAAUUCACAGGAGAGGCAGUUAAGCUAUUAUGUGAACUGCUCUCUGUCAAACUGGAGUACUUAAAUAUUUAUAAUUCGGAUUGCAACAAAGAAGAAGAGGAACUCAAACAAUUCUUUUCAUCACGGAAUAAUGGACCCAUCUAUUUCGCUUAGUGACCUGCAGGUGUUGAUCCCAUGUUUUUGUAAAUAUCGAAUAUUAUCACUAUAAAAUCUAAAAAGUGUAAAGUUUAUUGACAGUGUUAAUAUUAUAGCGUGCAAUAUUAUGUCAGAUUUUCAUGAACCAAAUUGAAGAACUUACACUGCACUGCAAUUUGAUCGACUUCAACCGUGAAAAUGUCAAAAUUCGACCGCAUAUCAUUUUUAGCCACAUUAGUUAAAGGAGAACUUUUGAUAACGAGGAUGUUAAGUAAGUGGUUCUCCAAAAAUCCCGGACUUGAAUACGCAUCAAGAUAGGUUUCAGCCUAUGAGAUCUCUUAACUACCAAGAAGAUGAAGACUGGAAACGAGGUACUUUCAAAUGUGAAAAAUUAGAGGCGCCAAAAGGAUGGGAGACUCAUGUGGCCAGAUGACCAGUCUCCCAUCUUCUUGAUGCGUAUUCAUGUCAGGGGUUUUGGAGAACCACUUACGUAACUUACCAAUCAAAAAAAGUUUGCCUUCAAGUCAUUUAGCAGCGUAGCUAAAUAUGACCCGAGGUCGAAUUCUGACAAGCCGAUGAAAUUGCAAGUGCAGUGCAAUCUGGACACAGAUUGAAAUGAAUAAGGGAAUUCGUUCCAUAGAUAAUUCAUGGCGAAGACAACAAAAUCAAAAGAAUAAAGGGUAAGUUGAGGAAUAAAGCUAUAUAGCGUCAGCUAUUGACUUAUCUCAUAAGCAAAUAAGGGGCUGGCACAGAAGAAAAGACUGAAACUUGUUAUUUAACGAAUCUGGAUGAAACAGAUAAAUGAUAAAUAGAAAUGAAAUUGCAACAGAUAAAUCAGUGUCCAUGUUGGACUGUGUAUUCUAGGAAUGAGCCGAGUGUUAAUUUAUGCAAUGAUGGAGUUAGUGCUCAACGUUUUCUUAAUGUUAUCUUCGUUCGGAAAUGGUUUUAAAAGCCUUAGUGGUUCCAAGUGUCUUCAGAAGAGCGUUCUUGUGAAAAUUCACGGCUGCCUUCUAUUUGAAUUAACGGAUUUUCUUGUGAUAGACUGUUAAUACCUGAAAUGUCACAUUCCAAAGUGCCUUUGUAAAUUCAAAAGGACAUAUCUCCAAGCAUCAUUGUUUAAAAAUGUCCAAAGUCGAAGUUUUGUCAAGUUAGUCGCUCCUUAAAUAUUCAGUUUGUGGACGGUUUAGAAAAAUCAUGAUGGCCAGUGUUUUUUUUUAAUAUAGAUGGAUCUGAACUUGAGAAAUAUUUUUACUACGAAUUAAUGACUGCGAACCACUUUUUCUAUAGGCCUAUCCACACUAGGCAACAUCGUUUGGAAACAAAGUUUGCAAACUGUUUGCAAACAUUGUUUUCAAACGAUAUUUCCUAAUGUGGACAGGCCUUUAGCAAGGAUAAAGAUAGUGCUCUUUAAAUUUAUGGUUAUUGCCAAUGGAGGCUUAAAACUUGGUUUCAAACAAUAAAGAAUACAAGUUGAAAAUGUAAGUACUAAUUUAUUCUUAUCACCAUAUGGGUUGUAAACGAAAAUUUAGAAUGCUAUAAUAAGGGUUUAUGAAGGAUUUCCGAUUGAGUGCAACCUAUUAAU